CGAAAGCCUGACGGAGCAACGCCGCGUGGGGGAAGAAGGUUCUUGGAUUGUAAACCCCUUUUCUCAGGGAAGAAGAUCUGACGGUACCUGAGGAAUCAGCCUCGGCUAACUCCGUGCCAGCAGCCGCGGUAAUACGGAGGAGGCAAGCGUUAUCCGGAAUCAUUGGGCGUAAAGCGUCCGUAGGCGGCUGUUCAAGUCUGCUGUCAAAGACCGAGGCUCAACCUCGGGUCGGCAGUGGAAACUGGAUGACUAGAGAUCGGUAGGGGCAGAGGGAAUUCCCAGUGUAGCGGUGAAAUGCGUAGAUAUUGGGAAGAACACCGGUGGCGAAAGCGCUCUACUGGGUCGCGCCUGACCCUCAGGGACGAAAGCUAAGGUAGCG
rnacentral:rRNA from 1 species